AUUUAUCGCCUAAAGAGCAGCCUGCGGCAGAUUAGCUAGUUGGUAAGGUAAUGGCUUACCAAGGCUACGAUCUGUAACCGACCUGAGAGGGUGGUCGGUCACACUGACACUGAAUAACGGGUCAGACUCCUACGGGAGGCAGCAGUCGGGAAUUUUGGGCAAUGGGCGAAAGCCUGACCCAGCAACGCCGCGUGAAGGAUGAAGUAUUUCGGUAUGUAAACUUCGUAAAAAUAGGAAGAAUAUCUGACGGUACUAUUUGUAAGGUCCGGCUAACUACGUGCCAGCAGCCGCGGUAAUACGUAGGGACCAAGCGUUGUUCGGAUUUACUGGGCGUAAAGGGCGCGUAGGCGGCGUGGUAAGUCAGCUGUGAGAUCUCCGAGCUUAACUCGGAACGGUCAGCUGAUACUGCUGUGCUAGAGUACAGAAUGGGCAAUC
rnacentral:rRNA from 1 species